UACAGAGGUCCCAAGCGUUGUUCGGAUUCAUUGGGCGUAAAGCGCGCGCAGGCGGUUCGGAAAGAAAGAUGUGAAAUCCCAGAGCUUAACUUUGGAACUGCAUUUUUAACUACCGAGCUAGAGUGUGUCAGAGGGAGGUGGAAUUCCGCGUGUAGCAGUGAAAUGCGUAGAUAUGCGGAGGAACACCGAUGGCGAAGGCAGCCUCCUGGGAUAACACUGACGCUCAUGCACGAAAGCGUGGGGAGCAAACAGG
rnacentral:rRNA from 1 species